AUUUCAGCAGCCGCCGUCGCAUUUUAACCGGCAAUUGUUUUUUUUUCCUCGUUUGUUGUCAUUUUCGUUUUUAAUGGCGGCCUGCUGUCAUUUAAAAUGAAUAAAUAUAUUACUUUUAGAAAGGGGCCGACCUCUCGUGAAGAGAACGAUGGAAUUUAUAGAUUCGGCUGGGAAACUUGUCGAUAAAGCUUUUUUGCUUUUUUAGAUGAACUGACACGAGAGUUUGGUACCUUCUCAAAGAGGCAUAAUUUCAAUCUAAUUAAUUGUAUCUGAGAUUUUUUUACCAGAUUUUUUUACUAGCAGGGUUGUACAACUUCAAUCUGGAUAAAAGUAGAUUGAAUUCUAAUAGAUUGAACUCCUUCUAUAUUUACUGCAGGAGCCCUCACUUUUUGCCGUAGCAAAACUGUUGGCAACUGCUCUUGUAAAUCUGAACAGGGUAGAAGUUCUUUGGCAUCCUGUAACAAAUCACCUGCUUGAAGUCAUCAUCCACCCACUUAACCGCUUGAGAGAAUGGGGAAUAGAUGUCAUUACUACGUUAGUUAGAUCAGUAAUUCAAUAUGAUUAUUCUACCCCUUUAAAAGAAAACCAGAGAUUGCAGACAUUGUUAAUAUCACCAUUAAAUGAGCUGUCUAGUUCCAGUUUUGCAGACGUGCAGCUAAAGCAAGUUGAUUGUGUGCUCCAUUUGCUGCACAGCUCUGGUGACAUAAUCUCUUUUGGAUGGCCCUUGUUUCUUAAUAUCAUAGGAGCUACCAACAAUUCUCAAGGGUAACAAUCAAAGUAUUUAUCAUGUUAUACCAAUUACUUUAUCACAUUAUUUUAUUUUAUUUAGUAAAUUGUCUUUAAAAUAACUGAAACAAUUUGUAUAGUUUAAUGUGUGUUGUGGACAAUAAAUGAUGCACUUUCAUUUCCAUAAA